AGCGGCGGACGGGUGAGUAACACGUGGGUAACCUGCCCAAGAGACUGGGAUAACACCUGGAAACAGAUGCUAAUACCGGAUAACAACACUAGACGCAUGUCUAGAGUUUGAAAGAUGGUUCUGCUAUCACUCUUGGAUGGACCUGCGGUGCAUUAGCUAGUUGGUAAGGUAACGGCUUACCAAGGCAAUGAUGCAUAGCCGAGUUGAGAGACUGAUCGGCCACAUUGGGACUGAGACACGGCCCAAACUCCUACGGGAGGCAGCAGUAGGGAAUCUUCCACAAUGGACGAAAGUCUGAUGGAGCAACGCCGCGUGAGUGAAGAAGGGUUUCGGCUCGUAAAGCUCUGUUGGUAGUGAAGAAAGAUAGAGGUAGUAACUGGCCUUUAUUUGACGGUAGUUACUUAGAAAGUCACGGCUAACUACGUGCCAGCAGCCGCGGUAAUACGUAGGUGGCAAGCGUUGUCCGGAUUUAUUGGGCGUAAAGCGAGUGCAGGCGGUUCAAUAAGUCUGAUGUGAAAGCCUUCGGCUCAACCGGAGAAUUGCAUCAGAAACUGUUGAACUUGAGUGCAGAAGAGGAGAGUGGAACUCCAUGUGUAGCGGUGGAAUGCGUAGAUAUAUGGAAGAACACCAGUGGCGAAGGCGGCUCUCUGGUCUGCAACUGACGCUGGGGGCUCGAAAGCUGGGUAGCCAACAGGAUUACAUACCCUGGUAGUCCAUGCCGCAAACGAUGAGUGCCCAGUGU
rnacentral:rRNA from 1 species